rnacentral:lncRNA from 1 species
UUGCCCUAUUUUGGUAACAUUUUAUUUUCAAAUCAGAUCUUGAUAUAGGAAAACAGAGGAAUUUUUUUACAAAAUAAUUCUCUAAAAUUUUAUAAUUUAUAAAAGGCUAAAUUACAUAAAACACUCCUGUCAAAAUUCGAUUUUUCACUUUCCCUCCCUGUCAUUUAAAAAUCUACAUUUUGCCCCAUUGUAAAAUGAAAAAUAUUCACAGAGGUUACGGUGUGAACUGUGAUGAUAAAAUUACCAUUUUGCCACUCACAAUUUUGCCCCUCACUAAGUUUACAGGAGAGAAGGCUGAGGAUAUUUUUGGCAUAAAAAAAUAUAUAAUAAUAUUUUAUAAACAGAAUCUUAACGGAUUACUAACGGUAGGGGGGGGAGUGAAUAUUUUUUAUUUUAUAAGGGGGCAAAAUGUAGGUUUUUAAAUGACAUAGGGGGAAAGUGAAAAAUCGAAUUUUGACAGGAGGUUUUAUGUAAUUUAGCCUUUAUAAAAUAACCCUAUAAAAUUUAUAUUUGACAAACUAACCCUCUCUUCGGCACGUAGGAGCCACGUCGGAUUUUUUUCCAAAACACGGUGAAUCAUUCACCGUAUUAUGAAAGUCUCUAAGUUCUUUUAAAAACGGUGAAUCAUUGAGACGGUGAACGAUUUACCGUCUUCUUCAUAAUUUUUUUAUCACUCAGUGAGUAUUAUAUAUGGGAAAAAGAAAAAAAUGAGGUUGUUAAAAUUGUACGUAGAUUAUAUGAAAGAUAAAAAAAAAAAAGUGUGGUUGUUAGGAUUGUUUGUGGAUUAUUAGAAUUUUUAUUUGAUUGUUAAGAUUGUAUAGAUAGAUUAUUAGGAUUUUCAAAUUAUUAAGAUUAUAUAUGAUGUUUGAUUACUAGGAUUGUAUGGAUAGAUCAUUAAAUUUUUUUUAAUUGUUAGGAUUGUAUGGAUAGGUUAUUAUAAUUUUCAUGUUCAUAUAUGUGGUUGUUAGGAUUAUAUAUGGAUAUAGAAAGAAACAGUAAAUAAGUGAAAGACGGUUCACUGUAUUUACGAAGACGGUUCAUCGUCUUUAGGAGAAAUUUCCAACGUGGCUCCUAUAUGACAAAACGAGGGUUAGUUUUUCAAAUAUAAUUUUGGCAAGGUAUUUCGUAAAUAAUAAAAUUCUAGAGGGUUAUUUUGUAGAAAAGUCCGAAAACGGAUGUAUUAAAACUUAAUGAUAAAACUUCAAAUAUGUCAUUUAUUUUCACAAGCUUAAUUAGCUAGUAUAAUUCAUAUAAUUCUCAAUUAGUUUAAAUUUUACAAUCAAAGUGUUAUUAACUGACUUAAAUUGAAUAAAUUGAAAGAUUAUGUAGCCGACUCGAAAUAGUUACAUAGAUAGAUAGAUUCUGUACGUUAGAAUAUUUAGGUGGUUAUAUUCAAAUGAACAAAAAAUUCAUAUUAUUUUGAUGCAUUUAACUAAUUAGCUAAAUUACAGAAUAUUUUUCCGUCAAUAUCUGUCUUUUCACCUACCCUUCUGUCAUUCAAAAAUCUAUACUUUGCCCCCUUAAAAAGUAAAAAUAUUCGCUUUGAUUCUCGCCGUCAGUGUUUCGUUAGGCUUCCGUUUAUAUCCUAUUUUUUAACCUAAAAUACUCCUGAAACCUCCUUCCUCAUCCUUGGCCGGGCUGCCUCACCCUCCGCCGCCUCACCCUCACCGACCUCUCUCUUCAUGCCCACAGACGCAUCCUUGUCCGUCUUCGCUGCCUUUCCCUUGCUAUUGCCCACCUCUCUAUUCACGUCCACUCCGAAGAAGAUAAAAAAUAAUUUGGUUAUUUUGUCACAGUGUACCUUCAUAUAAAUAUCUUUUAUUUUUUAAGAAAGUGAAGUGUAGCUUUUUAAAUGACAGAAAAAAAAAAGUCUGUGUUGACAGAUAUUUUUUUUUAUGAUUUAGCCUAACUAAUUUAUUAAAUGUCACUGUUGUUGGCUGACUGCAGGGGAUGGCAAAAGUUGAAUUAUGCAGACCGUAGAAAAAUGCGAGCUUACUGAAAAGCUGACUUGGACAACUAUUUCAUCAUCUUUAGAGUUGAUUUUGAAACUGGAUAUGUUGGAUUGGAUUUGACAAAGUUGCAGACUUGCAGUAUUGUACUAUUGUGGCGCCAUGCGAGAAUGUCAAACGAGGAGUUAUUGAAAUAUUGACUUGGUAAUAUCAAUAGGAUCUCAUUUGAUAUUGAUAGAUAGGUUAAAUUAUUUUUUUUAGAGGAAGAAAGAAUAUAUUUUUUUAAAAAUAAAUUUGGCUAAAAAUGUGAAUAAUAAGGAUUCGAAUUUGGGAUCUCGGAUACCAACUAUCGAGUCCUUUGCCUCCCACGGUGACAGAUAAAUCAAAAUCAUGUGCUGAUACUUUUGUAAAAUUGACUAUAUAUUGAUGGUAAAAAUGUGUGAAAUUUAUAUAAACUAUGGACCAUUUUCAUGAGUUGGCUAUCUAAUCUUUCAAAGUUUUGAUUUUACAAUUUGAACUUUCAAUUUGUUUGAUUUGAAUCAGUUGAUGACACUUUAAUUUUAAAAUUAAGCUAAUUCCUAAUUACUUUACUAAACUUAUAGUUGCGAGAAUUGUAUAACAUAUACUAAAUAAAUAUGUAAAAACAAACAAUACUUUCAAAUUUUAAAGUCAAAAUAUUAUUGCCCGGUUCAAAUCAAACAAAUUGAAAAAUUGGAUAGUUGGGUAACUAAAUCAGAAAGGUUCAUAGUAAAAGUAAAUUCUAUACAUUUUUACCUAAUUUGAUUUUUGUUUUCAAUUUACAAUUUUCACUUUAAAUUUUAAAUGACAGAUAAAAGUAACUUUUACGGACCAAUCUUUUAUGCGAAAUAAAAUACCUAUAAAAUUCUUUUUCUUUUUUUAUUUGAGAGAGAAAGAUAACAAGCUAUCUGUUCUAUUUAUUUUUUAAAAAUUAAAUUCAAUUAGAAUGUAAAAUAAUUAGAAUUUGAAUUUGGAACCAAAAAAUAU